AAAAACAAUCAGCAGCUCAUAUCCCUGGAGCCACUGUCGCUUCGACGACUGAUGGUACCAUGAAGCCAAAAGAUGAAAAGAGUGACAAAGUUGGCGAAGAAAAGAUCAAGGAAAAGAAAGAAAGGAAGGAAGGAGAAGUUGAAAAGAGUGACAAAGUUGGCGAAGAAAAGAUCAAGGAAAAGAAAGAAAGGAAGGAAGGAGAAGAUGAAAAGAGUGACAAAGUUGGCGAAGAAAAGAUCAAGGAAAACAAAGAAAGGAAGGAAGGAUACGAGAAUACAAGUGAAUCCAAACAAAAGGAAACUAGCAAGGAAGUAAAAGAAUCAUCCUUAGCUGAUCAAAGUGAAGAAAAUGGCAAGAAACGAAAGGAAGCGAAGGUGACGAGACCUGCUGAAAAAGCUAAAAGUUUGAAAUUUGGUGGUGUAGGAGAUG
rnacentral:lncRNA from 1 species